CAGCAGCCGCGGGAAUACGAAGGGGGCUAGCGUUGUUCGGAAUUACUGGGCGUAAAGCGCACGUAGGCGGAUACUUAAGUCAGGGGUGAAAUCCCGGGGCUCAACCCCGGAACUGCCUUUGAUACUGGGUAUCUCGAGUCCGGAAGAGGUGAGUGGAAUUCCGAGUGUAGAGGUGAAAUUCGUAGAUAUUCGGAGGAACACCAGUGGCGAAGGCGGCUCACUGGUCCGGUACUGACGCUGAGGUGCGAAAGCGUGGGGAGCAAACAGGAUUAGAUACCCCUGUAGUCCCUGUCUCUUAUAC
rnacentral:rRNA from 1 species